rnacentral:rRNA from 1 species
GGAGUAAAGCAGGGGAUCGAAAGACCUUGCGCUUUGGGAGCGGCCGAUGUCUGAUUAGCUAGUUGGUGGGGUAAAGGCCUACCAAGGCGACGAUCAGUAGUUGGUCUGAGAGGACGACCGGCCACACUGGGACUGAGACACGGCCCAGACUCCUACGGGAGGCAGCAGUGGGGAAUUUUGGACAAUGGGCGCAAGCCUGAUCCAGCAAUGCCGCGUGAGUGAAGAAGGCCUUCGGGUUGUAAAGCUCUUUCAGUCGAGAAGAAAAAGCUGCAGUGAAUAACUGUAGUUCAUGACGGUAUCGACAGAAGAAGCACCGGCUAGCUACGUGCCAGCAGCCGCGGUAAUACGUAGGGUGCGAGCGUUAAUCGGAAUUACUGGGCGUAAAGGGUGCGCAGGCGGCUUUGUAAGUCAGAUGUGAAAUCCCCGGGCUUAACCUGGGAAUUGCGUUUGAAACUACAAAGCUAGAAGC